CUUGAUUUGACUAUAGACAUAUUUACUGUUCAAGAGUUUGUCUUAUUAAAGGCAGUAUAUUUUUAGGUUUUAAUAUACAUUUAUCCUUAUCUUUAUUACAAUAUAAUGGCUCUUAAAAGACAGAUCAAUAUUUUUGUGCAUUCUUAAUCUUUUAAGAGAUAUAACCAAUUGUUACAUAAUAAUGUGUGACAGUGGCGGAUCCAGAAAUUUUCAUAAGUGGGGGCCCACUGACUGACCUAAGAGGGGGCCCGCUCGAGUCACGCUUCAAGUGAUUCCCUAUAUAAGCAACCAAAUUUUUUCCCAAAAAAGGGGGGCCCAGGCCCCCUGCCCCCCCCCCCUAAAUCCGCCUCUGUGUGAUUAUUAUGAGUUUUAGACAAGAAUUUUAAGUAGCUGGCGACUGGACCAAAUCAAUUGUAAUUUGUACACAAUGUUAUGUACAACAAAACAAAGGACAAUAUGUUUGUCCAUUUGACAGUCAGUUGACCUUGUUUGGACUUUUUAUAGUAGGUUUUCUAAAAUACAUAACUAUUUAUUUCAUAUUAUAAAGUAUUAAAAAUAACACAAUUUUGCUGUUACCAACAACUAAAGCAUAGAUGUCAUGAUAAGUUGUACAGUGCAUGAACACACAGCAUUUUUACAUAUGUUUUAUAUAUGAUGACUUUAACUUUAAAAAAAACACUAAAAGAACCGUAUAUUUAUGUGAAACUGUAUAUCUUAAUUUCCAUAGCAAACGUAGUUAAGAUUGCAUAUUUUGUUGGCUAAAGAGAAGUGUAAUGUAAUGUUAAAAGAGUUCAUCAUCCCAUCAGACAAAAUAUCUGUAUAUAAAGGUUUAUUAUAGGUUAACACUUGUUUAUACAAUUCAAGUAUUUGUUUGUCAUUUUUUAUAGCAACAAAUCUUUGCACAUUAUUAAAACCAGUCACUCAAAGUGAUGUUGAAAUGUUAGUGAAUAAAUACUAUGGAUGUGAUGUUAUAGUGAAAACUUAUAAUUGUUUUGUUAAAUAUUCGUUAGAUUAUAUUAGGCAGUGAAGUAAAGUUUGGAAUUUUUGAGUGGAUGAAAUUCCAAAAUGUCUGUAUGUAAAAUGAAAUUGUCAAAAAUAUAUUCCCAAUAUCGAAACAAUAACAUUUUGGAAUGACAAUACAGGGUUUUGCUAUCUGAAAAAAAACCACCACAUAGACACCUAGUUUUGACUUGCUGUUAAAAGGACACUUUUCUUCUCUUUACUGCUGAUUUGUAUUGCUCAUAUUACCCCCUUUCUUUGAUAUUAAAACACUUAUCCUACAACAAUCUGCACCACAAGGUACUUUUUGUUAAAAAAAAAACUGCUUAUGUUGAUGACUUUCACUGUUUCAUAAAAAAAACUAGGCAACAAAUUUUACUUUGUCAGUUUCGAAAGGAUUUCACCAUUUUUGAAUAUUCUUGAUAGUUCGGUAAUUUUUAAUUCAUUUUUUACGAGUUCAAAUUUCCACAGACAAUGAGGAAGCCUACUGCUAGAAUUUUGUUAAUUAAUUGAGGAAAUGAUCAUAUGAUUCUUUUGAAAACAUUCUGAAGGUUUUCAUGGCAGAAAUCAUCAUAAUUCUUAUAUUGAGUAAAAUCAUGUCACUGAUCAGUUGAAACAGUCUUUCAUACUGACUUUACCAUAUUGAAGUGAUUGUUGUUGGUUGUUUUGCAAUCUUACAUAUAACAGAUUUCCUGCUAGCCUUGAUCUUAAUAAGAUAGACCAUUUGUUUUUUGGUAUCUGGAGUACAGGCAAAACAUAAUGUCCACGAUUUUAGUUGUGCUCAAGCAGCUUUAGAGCUUUAAAGUGUUUAAGUAUUUAAAUGUUGAUUUCUCUGAUUGGAGUUUGUGUAGGAAGCCAGUAGUGUUAUGCUGUGUCUGAAUUUUUAGGAAUGUAUGAGUAAUUAUUUCUGUCAUGCUCAAUUCAAUCUGGUAAAUUUAAAUCUUUUUUUCUGAUAUCCUAAUGGAUGUGUCCUCUAUGCCUAACAUUUAAUGUCAAUUGAAUCUGUCAAAUCUACAAUUGACACUGUCAAACUCGGUACUUAUUCCUAACUUCAAUAGGAUUUUCUUAAUAAAAAAAAUGAAUAAGUGUAGAUCAUCAAUAGUUAAAGGAAAAGAUAUGUAUGCAUUUGAGAAAAUGAACCUUUUUGGGGUAUGAAUGAUUGAAAGAAAGAAAACCUGUAGGAAAUGAAUGGAUAAGAUAAAGGUUCCUUCUUUGGAAACAAAAUGUGCUUUGGGGCUUAUUGUAUGGAUUCACCCCUAAAGUUGUAUUGAAGGAACCAAUGGAAACCUGCAGCAUAUAUUAACACUCUGAUAAUAGUUAACCAUUAUUUAGUAAUUUUACAUAUGAUGAACAUCAGAAAUCACUGUUAUAUUUGGAUUACAGCAUGUAAACAAGUAUAAAUGUGUAAUAUUCUAACUAUUUUAUUCAGGUAAUUUCAAAGUCUACAAAUAUUGUGACAAGUGUUUAACUAUUACACAAUGUAUCUUCAUAAAGUAUUUUAUUUAAGGUAUAUCAUCUAGUGCAAUAUUGUCAGAAAUGACACCUUAUCUAUCAUUGUUUUAUGUCUUACAAAUCAAAAAC
rnacentral:lncRNA from 1 species